rnacentral:tRNA from 1 species
GCUCCAGUAGCUCAGUGGUUAGGGUGUUGGCCAUAUACACCGAGGCUGGUGGUUCAAACCCAGCCUGGACCA